rnacentral:lncRNA from 1 species
CUGUGACUCCUCCAAUAAAGCCACCAAAGCCUCCUAUAAAGCCACCAAAACCUCCUGUGACUCCUCCUAUAAAGCCACCAAAGCCUCCUAUUAAGCCACCAAAGCCUCCUGUGACUCCUCCUAUAAAGCCACCAAAGCCUCCAGUGACUCCUCCAGUAAUACCAAUACCACCAACUCUUCCUCCACCAAAGCCUCCAGUGACUCCUCCAGUAAUACCAACACCACCAAUUCUUCCUCCACCAGAGCCUCCAGUAAUACCAACACCACCAAUCGUGAAGCCACCACCAACACCGCCGAAGCAAGAGACUUGCCCCAUUGACACUCUCAAGUUAGGCGCAUGUGUGGAUGUCCUAGGUGG